UACAGAGGGUGCAAGCGUUAAUCGGAAUUACUGGGCGUAAAGCGUGCACAGGCGGCUUUGCAAGACAGAUGUGAAAUCCCCGGGCUCAACCUGGGAACUGCAUUUGUGACUGCAAGGCUAGAGUACGGCAGAGGGGGAUGGAAUUCCGCGUGUAGCAGUGAAAUGCGUAGAUAUGCGGAGGAACACCAAUGGCGAAGGCAAUCCCCUGGGCCUGUACUGACGCUCAUGCACGAAAGCGUGGGGAGCAAACAGG
rnacentral:rRNA from 1 species